rnacentral:rRNA from 1 species
UACAGAGGGUGCAAGCGUUGUUCGGAAUUAUUGGGCGUAAAGCGCGUGUAGGCGGCGGUGCAUGUCGGGUGUGAAAGCCCUCAGCUCAACUGAGGAAGUGCGCCCGAAACUGCAUUGCUCGAGUGCCGGAGAGGGUAGCGGAAUUCCCGGUGUAGAGGUGAAAUUCGUAGAUAUCGGGAGGAACACCAGUGGCGAAGGCGGCUACCUGGACGGACACUGACGCUGAGACGCGAAAGCGUGGGUAG